rnacentral:rRNA from 1 species
UACGUAGGUGGCAAGCGUUAUCCGGAAUUAUUGGGCGUAAAGCGCGCGCAGGUGGUUUCUUAAGUCUGAUGUGAAAGCCCACGGCUCAACCGUGGAGGGUCAUUGGAAACUGGGAGACUUGAGUGCGGCAGAGGAGACUGGAAUUCCUGGUGUAGCAGUGAAAUGCGUAGAUAUCAGGAGGAACACCGAUGGCGAAGGCAGGUCUCUGGGCUGACACUGACGCUCAUGCACGAAAGCGUGGGGAGCAAACAGG